rnacentral:rRNA from 1 species
GGCUUUUUGUGAAUAAUUUAAGGUCGGACCUGCCCAAUGAUAAAUUCAAUGGCCGCGGUAUUUUGACCGUGCAAAGGUAGCAUAAUCAUUAGUUUUUUAAUUGAAAGCUUGUAUGAAGGGUUUGAUGAAGAAAUAACUGUCUCUAUUUAAAUUUAUUAGAAUUUUAUUUUUAAGUAAAAAAGCUUAAAUUUUUAUAAAAGACGAGAAGACCCUAUAGAGUUUUAUAUUUUUUAUAUUAAAAGAUUUAAGAAUUUUUAUAUUUUGAUUUAAAAAAGUAUUUAGUUGGGGUGAUUAAAAAAUUAAAUAAACUUUUUUUUUAUUGAAACAUUAAUUUAUGAAUAAUUGAUCCAUAUUUUAAGGAUUAUAAGAUAAAAUUACCUUAGGGAUAACAGCGUAAUUUUUUUUAAGAGUUCAAAUCUAAAAAAAAGAUUGCGACCUCGAUGUUGGAUUAAAAUAAAAUAUUGGUGUAGAAGCUAGUAUAUUAGGUCUGUUCGACCUUUUAAAUUUUACAUGAUCUGAGUUUAAACCGGUGUAAG